rnacentral:rRNA from 1 species
UACGUAGGGUGCGAGCGUUGUCCGGAAUUACUGGGCGUAAAGAGCUUGUAGGUGGUUUGUCGCGUUGUUCGUGAAAUCUCACGGCUUAACUGUGAGCGUGCGGGCGAUACGGGCAGACUAGAGUACUGCAGGGGAGAGUGGAAUUCCCGGUGUAGCGGUGAAAUGCGCAGAUAUCGGGAAGAACACCCGUGGCGAAGGCGGCUCUCUGGGACGGUACUGACGCUGAGACGCGAAAGCGUGGGGAGCGAACAGG